rnacentral:rRNA from 1 species
CAGCCGCCACGGGAAUACAGAGGGUGCGAGCGUUAAUCGGAUUUACUGGGCGUAAAGCGUGCGUAGGCGGCUUCUUAAGUCGGAUGUGAAAUCCCUGAGCUUAACUUAGGAAUUGCAUUCGAUACUGGGAAGCUAGAGUAUGGGAGAGGAUGGUAGAAUUCCAGGUGUAGCGGUGAAAUGCGUAGAGAUCUGGAGGAAUACCGGUGGCGAAGGCGGCCCCCUGGACAAAGACUGACGCUCAGGUGCGAAAGCGUGGGGAGCAAACAGGAUUAGAGACCCCAGUAGUCCCUGUCUCUUAUAA